rnacentral:rRNA from 1 species
GAACGCUGGCGGCAUGCUUAACACAUGCAAGUCGCACGAGGGGCAACCCUAGUGGCGGACGGGUGAGUAACGCGUAGGUAUCUAUCCAUGGGUGGGGGAUAACAGCGGGAAACUGCUGCUAAUACCGCAUGACACCUGAGGGUCAAAGGCGCAAGUCGCCUGUGGAGGAGCCUGCGUACGAUUAGCUAGUUGGUGGGGUAAAGGCCUACCAAGGCGACGAUCGUUAGCUGGUCUGAGAGGAUGAUCAGCCACAUUGGGACUGAGACACGGCCCAAACUCCUACGGGAGGCAGCAGUGGGGAAUAUUGGACAAUGGGGGAAACCCUGAUCCAGCAAUGCCGCGUGUGUGAAGAAGGU